UUUUUAAUCUAAUGAAACCCGGAAGAGAUUCUUUCUCGAGGAAUGGAAGGCACUACAAGAAAGAUAGACUCCUUUUCAAAUCGCCCCGCGGUGUUGAAAGGUUCUCGAGAUUAUAAAUCUUUCCAUUUUCUUUUUCCAUUAGAAGGAGCUUGUACAUGUUCGGCAGUACCACCUGUUCAUAGUAUGAAAGGUUCUUAAUGUUAGUUGAGUCCUUGGUUCCUCAAUUGAUUGACCCGCAAUAAUACCUAGCUGGCCAUGCGGGCUCGCAGACGUAAGUUGGUUUUUGUGAACUGCCCGAACAGCGAUAAAGCAAGAUGGGAAAGCAUGUUUUUUGGGCUAUUUUAUUCCCUUCUUCCGGCGGUUUACGAAAGAUCGCUCGCUCGGUGCAGUACCUCAUCGACGUUCAUUGCUGUACUUCGAGCUGCACUCCGCUGGUCACCCUCAAAAUCCUACAUAGCCGAGCCGUAAACUAGUUUACGGAAUGCGCUAGUAACUACCCUUUAUAUACGUAAGGGGAAUCAACUAUAUCCCUAUACCAAUGGUUGGGAAUAUUACUCAAAAUAGUGAUAUCGCUUAUCACUCAUACGAAUUCUCGCGUCGCCUAGUCCUCCUCCCAGAUCAUUUCUUUCGAAGUUAAUAAGGUCGAGAAUGACCUGCGAAGACAGGCGUUGUUCUUUUUCAAACUAUCCAUGAGUCUCUUAGCGACCUCUCGGACACACGGGACGAUGAUACCUGAGAAGGACCACCAACUUGACCAUAAGCAAGGGAGCGGUAGCCCAUGACUGUUACCGACUUAGUUAGUUGUCUGACCAAGAACUAGUUCAAAUUGUGGUGAUUCCAGGUAUGCUUGGAUGAAUUUAUAGAGGUUUAAAAAGGAAUUGCAGGAUGAUAUCGUCAAGAAAGAGUAAGACUUUGAAACAAUUUCAUUACAUUUUGGUCGGUCUUUUGAGCCCUCAAUUAACAUAAAGAAAGGGAGAAAGGGAAACGGGCAUGGGGUCGAAUAGGUCCAACAGAAGCAUCCUCACAAGCAGCCAAAGAUAGGCGAGGAAAAAAUUCCUUCGGGAAAGAUCAGCUCUAGAUAAGGAACAAACUUCAAACUUCGCGACAAAGGCAACAGAAACCUGCUUCCAUGCUGUCCUUGCUUGGCUAGCCAUUCCGACCUUAUCCGUCGCCCUCUUAUUUAUCAGCCAGCCCUGGCUACAGGUUGAAAUCUAAAUCAUUCUGUAACCACCUCUUUUUCUUUGGAAUGGCAUUUAUUUUCAUCUUCUUUCUCUACCUAAGUAGAGUAGAGCCAAACCCUCUAUGAGCCCUUUCCUUCUUUCUUUCAUGGAAGUAGGCUUAUUCCGCCUUAAAAGCUUGUGUUCUUAUUCCUAUCGCCCUUUCUUAAAUAGAAAUGGGCAUCUUCUUAUUCUUCAGCCUUAAUUAAAGGCUCUUCCCUGCCUAGCUCCUCUGAAAAAAGGAACUACCUUGCUUCGGCGCACGAUUCGGAAAACAGCCUCAAAUUGAGCUUUUACCUCUCCAACCGCUGCCCUAACGAGUGGGAAAAGAGAUAGAUCGGGGGUAUCGAUGUGGAUGAAAGGCAGAGAUGAGAGCGAAAGAAGAGGAGUGGAACGAAGCCUUAAAGGCGAGGCACCCGAAGACAAAAGCCAUUGGCUGAACACCAGCCGGAAAAAUCCUUAAUUCGAAAGACGACAAUCAAAGCAUCACGACUCGAGGAACAAUCCUCAAGGGAGUGAACCUGUGAGAUCGGUAGAAAACCCGUAAAAGGAAGCCGCUAGGCAUCAAGCCCUAUUACCUUAGACCCAAGGAGGGUGGCCGUUGUUGGGUGGUGAGUUGCAAUGAAAGAGCUGAGAAGUUUUGGAUGUACAUAGAAGGGUGAGACUUUCUCGGCUCAAGCUGGAACACUUUUUCUGUGCCUACAUACCGAAUCAGACAAGUGAAUCAAUCGGUGGUAUGUUCUUCUUCACGUGAUCGUGCUCUAGACCUAUGGGACUAACAACCACGGGGGCUUGCACUCCCUUUAUGACCAAGAUCAGGAGCUAUUCAUAGAGCCGAGGUGCCCCCGCCUAGGGAAGCAGAUCUAUCCUCUAAGGAGCGUUAGCCAUACCAUGUAACUACAACACGAGGGACCCUAAGGACGGAAGGGCUCUUUCUGAAAAGGCUUGGGUUGGCCAUUAGUGCUCUUUUGUUGUAAGCUUUUAGGCCUUUGGUCUGUCAGUUGCUGACGCCUUCUCUUCCUUUGGUCUAACCCUGAAGCUCUCACAGCGAGAUCAGAUACAGUUGACACCAUGCCGAACAUCAUUCGAGAUGCCACCUUCAACCAAGACUGAAAUGCUAAACACAGUUCAUUCGGUAGCUCACACGCACCGCUCAUUUAAAAGGAAGAGGGCAUGACCAGCUUCGAAUUCGGAUCUCUUUUAUGAUAGUCAUCACGAAUCCGCUUUCCUUUUUGACCUCAAUGACGACUCAUUCAUAGAUCUUUCAUCUUAGAGGGGGCCCCGAAAAAAGGUCAACAAAGAGUAGGAAGCUCUCAGGUACUUCAUCCUAGAAUGGGGUUUGUCUCCACUCGAUAUAGAUUACUGGGCUAGGUCAAUGGAGAAAGAAAUUACAGAAUGGCUUUGACUUGUAGCAGCAAGAUAGGCUGUCUUUGUUCCUGAGGCACAUACCUAAAAAAGGGUGCCAGCCCCAUAGCACAAGCUGGGGUAUCUUACCCGAUUAAGUUAGAUUUCAUAAGGCAAUGCCUACAACUAAGUAUAUAAGACCAGGCAAACAAGCAAUGAAAUUCUAUAGUUUGUGUAUACCUAUGUCCGUCAAAGCGCUAUUUGAGCCUACUAUAUGGAAAAAAAAAUAUCCGGUACACCUUUUUUAGCUCUUUCUAUCUAACAUACUCCCUUUCUCACGAAGCAAAAACAGAUUCUUUGGUGGCAGUGGCACUUCCAGAAACCGGAUUCCCAUCCACAAGGGAUAGGGAUAGGUGGGCGCUUAAAGAUAGGCAUACGUCGGCGUAGAAAGAAGAGAUCCAUUUUCUACAGAGAUAGUCGGGCCUAGCUAAUCCACUCACUCAGAAGAAGAAAGAGCACCCGAACCAACAUCUGUUGAAGGAAAUCGAUACUAUUUGAGGUCUGCCAAAGGUCUUUCAGCGCAGCACUUCCCUGGUAAGAAAACGGAGCUUCUAUUGAAAGUUUUUUUACCCUUUUGUGGACACACCCUGGGGGUUGGAACCUCUUGCUCUUAUGCUAAGGCAGAGGCUUUCUCAAUGCAAUGGCUUGCGUGGAUUCGCAUGCUUCGGAUGCUGGUGUAGCUUACACCCCUAGAAGGGAAAGAAAAN
rnacentral:lncRNA from 1 species